GACGCGCUCAAUUCCUUGCAGGGCCGCCAGCGCCGAGCGCACGCUGCCCGCGCAGGGAACGGGCAGAGCCGCCCGAGGCCUCACAAGGGGCCGUGAUGGGGCCGGCGCUGAAGGGACACGGCCCAGCGACCCCAGGAACAGGGGACCGGCCCAGCGACAGCCACUGCGGCACACAGAGCCGGGCAGGGCUGGGAAAGCCCGCAGCCAACACUCACCGCUUUCUUCAUGGUGGCGGCCAUGUUGGCAGGGCCGAACUAUUCGCCCUCCCCGCAGAGGAGGAGGCCCGCGUGGAGAACGCGAAGAAAAACGGUGACAGCGCGCAGCGGCGACCACGCGAGGCGGCUCGAGGCUUCCGUUGAUCCUCCAUCACCACCUGCAGAGAGGCCAUCUGCCCAGGGCCCUUUUAGGUACUGGAAGGCCACUGGAAGGUCUCUCAGGAGCCUUCUCCUGAACUCCCUCAGCCUAUCUUCAUGGCAGUGGUUCUCCAACCCUCUCAGCAUCCUUGUGGACUCCUCCUGACCCACUCCAACAGACCCAUGUCUUUCUUACACUGAUAAACCUAGAGCUGAACGCUCUUCCUGCAAUCGGUCCUUGUUGGAAAGAGCUAGAAUGCAGCACGCUCCAUUCAAGUUUUAGCACAUGUACCGUACUCCUUCAGCCUUGGCUUUGUCCUUCAUAGGAAAUGGUAUAGCAGUCCUAUUGCUUGCAAGCAAGAAUGGAAAGUUUGGGUUCCUGCUUUAUCAGUAAUGCACAUGGAGCUGAUUUUUGUAUUUUACUUUGUUUCAUAAGUUUGACUUGUUCCCACUGAGGAAGAAAAGAAUCUCAAAAGUUCUCCCUGGAGAUCUUUGUUAAUAAUGACAUGUUAUGUGAAAACAUAAUCCUAAUUCAUGGGUUUCUCUUUUUCUCAAAGAACAGACUCUUAUUUCUCAGGCUGUUCUGCUCUUCCCUUAAUCAGUUAUCUUCUAUCCUUUUAAAAAGCCCACUCUGAAAGGAUAUAAUCCAAACCAUGGUUAUUUCCACGGGUAGAUUAACUGAAUGAUACAUGUUAGAUCCAAGCCAAUGCAAUUUCCUUCAAGAGAAAAGGAGUGGAUUUCAUAAGAAUUUGAUGACUUGUAGGCUUUGAAAAUAUUUUUUUUGUUCUCCCACAUGCUCAGACAAGAUCUGUGCUGUGAGCAUGUUGCCAAGAGUUACUGUAGACCUUUAUUAUGUAAAUAAAAGUGAAAACAGUGCACGAGUGCAAACAUCUAGUGGUGGAGUAAUAUAAACUCAUUGAACUCAGUGACCUCGUUUCUUUUUCAGUUGCAUAAAAGGACUUGAUCUUUCUUGUGCUGGUCUUCAUUGCAGUGAGCAUGGUUGGCUUCACCUUGCUUUUUGGUGGGAGCCCUUCUGUGGUGUGUGUAACCCCCACACCCGUCACCUCAUGUCCUCUCUGUAGUGCUUUGUCACGUUUCCCCUUCACGUUACUUGCUGUAGCCUUUUGCAAUACAGCUUAGCAUAAAAGAGUCUUCCCAUGCUC